UUCUCAACAACAAUAAUUUAUAAACAGUCACAUAUCAGUUUGGUAAUCUUUCUGAUGAAAAAAAAAAAUUAUACAUAUAAGUAGCAUUACAAUGUGAAGGAAUAAAACAUUUAACAACUAUGACAGCCAUGACAACAACAAACAAUAACCAAAAUAUGAGGGGGAGAUUAUUAAUACGCAAGCUAUUAGCAAUAAACAAGCCAGACAAUAGGGUUAAGGUUUAUUGCUUCUUGUUCAUUACAAAUGUACCUAGAUCUUUGAUACAUCUAUAUACCACCAAAUUAAAAGCACAGACACAUCCAAAGAAACACCAUUUUUGUUUUGCUUGCACUAGUGCCUUGUCGUCUACCGAUAGCCUUCUUGGAUAUGAAGACUAAAUAUAGAGGAAUCUAGCACAGUAUACCGCAGCUUGCAAGCUGAAAUUUAAGUGUGGUUUGCUCAUUUCAGGUUCUGCUCUUGCAUUUCUCCAUAGCUCUUGGUGCAAGUCCAAUAGCUUCAGAUCCUUUCAUAAUGCGCAAGCGCUUGCAUGAUUCCACAAACAUCCUGCAUGAGAAUUCCCAAGUAAACAAUAUAUAAGUGAUAAUUUUUGCUUAAUUAAUUAGUCUCUAGUUUUUAAGAAAUUUUAGAAUAUUACCAUGUACAACGGUUUAUAGGGACAACAAUUGCACAGUAUAAUUUCUCUAAUUUCCAUUGGGUUUUUAUUUAUUUAUUUUUUGGUGUAUAUAUAUAUACAUACAUAUAUACAUAUAGCAAUCAAAUAUACAUGAUAUGCCAGACUAUAAUGAUAUGAAGCUUAAUUAUUCAAUUAAUUAAUUUGAUGCAUAUGAUCAUGAAGUGCUAUAUAUUAUACAAAAACUGUGCCAUCCUUGUCUUAUUUCUUUUUUCUAUUAUUGAUUAAUUAAAAGCAUGGUUAAUAGGAAUUUUAAAGAAAUAAUAAAACAACUUACCCCCAUGGAACAUCACCCACGAG
rnacentral:misc_RNA from 1 species